rnacentral:snRNA from 1 species
AUCGCUUCUUGGCCUUUUGGCUAAGAUCGAGUGUAUGUUUAUAUGUGUAUAUAUAUAUGUAUGUAUGCAUAUAUACAUGUGUGUAUAUAUAUGCAUAUGUGUGUACAUACAUGCAUAUAUACAUAUUCUAU